GGUCGUCUCUUUCAAAUAGGUUCCCACAACCCUAAAAACCAUUAUUUGCGGCUAUGUCCUUUUUUCGUUCAUAGAUCUGCUGCACUCUUUCUUGGAUGAGCUCAAGUGAUGUCUUCGUUUCACCUUGCUGAGAAAAGGCUUGCUUCUGAGCAUCAAAUCAAUGAGAGUUUGAAGCGUGAUUUGAGCAAUGAGAAAUCAAAGACCGCUUCGGCUCACGAGACUAUUGCCUACAAGAACCGUGACAUGGCGACUUUGGAAGCCAAAUUGGUUGAACGUGACCAGGCCAUAACUGACCUAAAAGCCGACAAUGAGAGAUCAUUAGGUGAAAAGGAAGUGCUUCAAGAUGAGAUUGUUUCUUGAAUUGAGGUCCUAAAGUAUGAGCUGGAUCUCUACUUGAAUGGGGCAACCAUCAUAGCUCGAUGGGAGGCAUUGCGUGAAUGCCUGCUGGGAGAGCACAAGAAAUGGGAUCUAGGUGAAGUGGAAAUGCAGUACCAGACCGUGAUGCGGAGUCAGGCGCUGUUCAAGGGGAUGCCUCCACCUACUUUUGGGGAUUCCCUUGCUCAGAUUGGAGCUCAAGAGCAGGUUGACUCCAGGCUAGAUGACUCAGAACCCAUUGCUCCAUGACCAACCAUUUUCUUCCCUCUUUAUGACUUAUUUAGCUUUUGUCUUCUAGUUCUAUUAGAAUAUUUUCGUACUUAGGUUAUCGUAGCGGUUUGUGUUGGACGCAUAUGUAAUCCCUUUAGCUGCAGUAUCCGCCAUUGUAUCAAUUUGACUUGACUUUGCCAAUUGUAAUGUUAAGCAAUGACACCGUAGUGACUAGAAGUAA